GCCGGGCGUGGUGGUGCGCGCCUGUAAUCCCAGCUACUCAGGAGGCUGAGGCAGGAGAAUCACUUGAGCCCAGGAGGCGGAGGUUGCAGUGAGCUGAGGACUAUACCACUGCACUCCAGCCUGGGCGACAGAGCGAGACUCCGUCUCAA
ensembl:misc_RNA Metazoa_SRP Metazoan signal recognition particle RNA